AUACGUAGGUGACAAGCGUUAUCCGGAUUUACUGGGCGUAAAGGGCGUGUAGGCGGUCUUGCAAGUCAGAAGUGAAAUUCCUGAGCUCAACUCGGGCGCUGCUUCUGAAACUGCAGGACUUGAGUGCUGGAGGGGAUAGCGGAAUUCCUAGUGGAGCGGUAAAAUGCGCAGAUAUUAGGAAGAACACCGGUGGCGAAGGCGGCUAUCUGGACAGUAACUGACGCUGAGGCACGAAAGCGUGGGGAUCGAACAGGAUUAGAUACCCUGGUAGUCCACGCCGUAAACGAUGGGCGCUCGUCGUCGGCGACAGACAGUCGGCGGCCAAGCGAAAGCGAUAAGCGCCCCACCUGGGGAGUACGGUCGCAAGGCUGAAACUCAAAUGAAUUGACGGGG
rnacentral:rRNA from 1 species